AGUUGCACGUCAUGCGCGUCUUGACGGCUGGGCGCCGGCGGGGCUCGCGAGCGAGGGGAGAGAACGUUGCGUUCGGUACUGCGCUCGGAGCCAGCCAGCCGGGCCCGCCACUCGCUUUCGGGGCCCUCCGCCAGGCGGAGGGAGCCCCAACACCAGCGCGCAACGGGGCGCGUGAGGGGGGAAAUGACGCUCGGACAGGCAUGCCCGCCAGAAUGCUGGCGGGCGCAAUGUGCGUUCAAAGAUUCGAUGGUUCGCUGAAUUCUGCAAUUCACAUUACGUAUCGCAUUUCGCUGCGUUCUUCAUCGAUGCCAGAGCCAAGAGAUCCGUUGUUGAAAGUUUUGAUACAUUAUCUGUAUGCUCCUCAGAAGGUCUAGUUGCGGAAAAAAAGGUUCGGAGAGCCCGCCGCCCCCGGCGGGGGGGAAGGGG
rnacentral:misc_RNA from 1 species